rnacentral:rRNA from 1 species
UGCUCUUUGACUAAAGUUUUAUAAAGAGUCGAGCCUGCCCAGUGAAAAUUUUAACGGCCGCGGUACUCUGACCGUGCAAAGGUAGCAUAAUCAUUUGCCUUAUAAUUGAAGGCUAGUAUGAAUGGUUUGACGAAAGCAGAUCUGUCUCCUUUUUACUUUCUAGAAUUUGACUUUUAGGUGAAGAGGCCUAAAUAAAAUUGAAGGACAAGAAGACCCUGUCGAGCUUAAAAGAACUUGUAGAGGUUAAUAUAAUUAUAAAUAAAUAAUCUAUUAAGCUUUUUAGUUGGGGCGACUGAGGAACAAAAAAAGCUUCUUAGGCAUAAAAAACAGACAAGUUUAGAUCCAGUAGUAAUCUGAUCAAAGGAAUUAGUUACCGCAGGGAUAACAGCAUAAUCUCUCUUGAGAGACCUUAUCGAAAGAGGGGGUUGUGACCUCGAUGUUGGACUAGAAUAUCCUAAAGAUGCAGAAGUCUUUGAGGGUUGGUCUGUUCGACCAUUAAAAUUCU